rnacentral:lncRNA from 10 species
AUCAUAUUAACAAUAAGGAGGUGGUUAGUGAAGGCAAUAAGAGCAAGCUCAGGGCCUUCGAUGAUACAGAGCUGGGUUGCAGAGGAUAGGGAAUCAAUGACGGGUAAGGAAGUGAAGGUGGAUCACCAACCUUUUCCUCAAACAUCAAUUAUCAACAUAAAAACAACAGCCUAGGAAUCUAGAAGUCAUUCAAAAAGUAGAAAUAUGGGAGGCCAAGGUGGGAGGAUCGCUUGAGCCCAGUAGUUGGAGACCAACCUGGGCAAUAUAGUGAGACCCUCAUCUCUACAAAAAAUAAAAAUUAUCGCAGUGUGGCAUUUUGGAUGUCAGCUAUCACAUAAAAAUGUAGCUUUUAUGGCCCAUAGGCUAACCAAGAAAUGAGCCCUCCAAUUUCUAUCUGUGGCUUCAGUCGAUGCGUCCAAAUAAUUGUAGUUACAGGUAAAGUUUCAAACUUUGCAACUUUGCUAGCAUGAAGAAAGCAUAAGAAAACACUUUACAUGAUUAAAACUGAAAAAGACUUAUUUUUUUAAUGUGAUAAAUUCUUCCAACUAUUGAAGUCUUUGAUGCUACAUUUUGUUUUACUUGGUUUAGUUAGAAUAUUUUUCACAUAUUCUAACUUCUAGAAGAUCUAGAACAUAACAGUAGUUUCAGUGGCUGCAAAUUCAGCUAAGAAAGCACUUCUACAAAAGAAAAUGAGCAGGUAAGGAAGUCCAACACCGGCUCUGAGAACCGGUUCACUUGCUUGUAAAAAAUCCUUAUUCAAGCAAACUGUGGCAUCUGUAGAAUCCUUAUAACUUCUGUCUACUGUAAAAUAUAUGAAAUUUAGUGGAAACAUCCCAAAGGAAAGAUUGUUGGAAGCAUCCAAAAGAAUAUAUUUGUACUUUCAUACAUAAAAAAAUAUAAAGCAGAAUUCCAAAAUAUGCAUUUCUGAGUGGGGCUUUUGCACUAUAUUAAAGACCGUCUCCACUAAUCAGCCCUAAGCCCUUAAGAACAAAUCAGUUUCAGUUUAAUGUUUUCUUCUUAUAUCCUCAUCUAUUUAAUAUUCAAAAAACUUAUGAAGGCACAUCUUGUGAUUGUCUCUAUAGUUUAAAAAACAUAAAAGAUGGUAGAAAAGUACAGAACCAGAUUUUCCCUAGAGCGUUGCCUGUCCUGAGGGUUAAAUUUUGAGAAAUGAGCUAGCAGGGGGAAAAAAUGAUCAAAAUAUAAUUUAAAUAGGCUCCAAGGGGCCUACUCUAGUCAGUGGUCCGGAGCUCAGUUCUUCAUUAAAUUCAAGAAAUAUAGUCCAUGAUUUUCCAGUGUUUGGUUAUCAAAAUCUUAAUUAUUUAAAAUUAGCCUCUAAUAAGAAGGAAAGAGGGGGAAAAGCCACUGAAAGCUUCUUCUAUUAACAACAAAAAUGUUAGCUAAGAACCAUAACAAUUAAAGAAGAUGCAAUCUAGUAAAAAGGAUCACUUUUAUAAUUGGGAAGAGAAAAGUAUAACCAUGUUAAAAGAACAAGAAAUGAGACAUCCCUGGCCCCCACAGAAGUGGGAGCUAAACAGUGGGUACACCUCGACAUAAAGUUGGAAACUCUGGACAGCGGGGACUUCAAAUGGGAGGAGGAAGGAAGGAGGUCAUAGGUUGGAAAAAUUACCUGUUGGAUUCUGCGUGCACUAUCUGAGUAAUGGGUUCAUUAGAAGCUCAAACCCCAGCAUUAUGCAAUACACCCAUGUAACAAGCCUGCACGUGUACCCCCCAAAUCUAUAAGAAAACAGAAAAUGAAUAAGCCAAUGAGUUUCAGGAAUCAGGAAUCAGCGGUGGAGGUAGAAAGCAUACCACCCAUAAAGGGGACCAGACUAAGAGUCCACUGAGAAGACUCAGAGUUAAUAAGAAAAAAUCCAACUGGAAGAGAGUAAUUUGGAAAAAUACAUACUACAAGCAAACACCUCUUGCCGUCUCAGUGACCUCUAAAUGCAUCACUACUUUCCAGCCCUGUGUUCACCAUGAUGACACAAAGUGAAAUAAAGUGACUAAAUUCUACUCUACACUUUCUAUACUAACACAGGCAAUUGUAAUUUAUGCCUUUCGAAAGAUUUUCAGUUACAAAACUAUUUCAAAAUCCACAUCCAAAAUCCAAUGCUUCUUUGUGCAAAUCGAUAAAAUCAU